rnacentral:rRNA from 1 species
UACGGGGGGAGCAAGCGUUGUUCGGAUUUACUGGGCGUAAAGGGCGCGUAGGCGGGCGCAACAAGUCACUUGUGAAAUCUCCGGGCUUAACUCGGAAAGGUCAAGUGAUACUGUUGUGCUAGAGUGCGGAAGGGGCAACUGGAAUUCUCGGUGUAGCGGUGAAAUGCGUAGAUAUCAGGAGGAACACCAAUGGCGAAGGCAGCUCGCUGGGACGGUACUGACGCUGAGACGCGAAAGCGUGGGGAGCAAACAGG